rnacentral:rRNA from 1 species
AUUGAACGCUGGCGGAAUGCUUUACACAUGCAAGUCGAACGGUAGAGGGGGCAACCCCUCGAGAGUGGCGAACGGGUGAGUAAUAUAUCGGAACGUGCCCAGUCGUGGGGGAUAACGUAGCGAAAGUUACGCUAAUACCGCAUACGAUCUAAGGAUGAAAGCGGGGGAUCGCAAGACCUCGCGCGAUUGGAGCGGCCGAUAUCAGAUUAGGUAGUUGGUGGGGUAAAGGCUCACCAAGCCAACGAUCUGUAGCUGGUCUGAGAGGACGACCAGCCAAACCGGGACUGAGACACGGUCCAGACUCCUACGGGAGGCAGCAGUGGGGAAUUUUGGACAAUGGACGGAAGUCUGAUCCAGCCAUUCCGCGUGCAGGAUGAAGGCCCUCGGGUUGUAAACUGCUUUUGUACGGAACGAAAAGGUCUCUCUUAAUACGGGGGGCUCAUGACGGUACCGUAAGAAUAAGCACCGGCUAACUACGUGCCAGCCGCCGCAGUAA